UCCAAUUUUCCUGAGGUAGGAAGCACACCGUGGAAUAAGGAGAAAGAAAAUGCAGAUAUGAGUAGCCUCUCCAGGAAGCAAUGUGACUAAAUACUCUUUAUACAAAACCAAAAAAUUAGAUAAAUACGUAUUGAAGUGUUAUUCCUGAAAGCUGGAGAAAGAAAACUUACUUCUAAGAAUUGUGGAGUGAAGGAAUAAGAAAAUGUGACGCUUGGAAGAAAGAACACAGCGCCAAGAGGCCUUGUUGCUGAGUUUGCUGAACAAUAGGCAACCUCCAAGAAUGCUCGCCUGCAAUUCCAGCUCUGCCAUCAAUUCACUGUAUGCCUUUGGAUCAUCUACAAGAAAUGAACGAUGUUCAAAAUUACUUGUCAUGCCCUUUGCUUGGGGCUGAAAACAAGAUGCAGUCAUACAGAUUUCAGCUACAGAAGGGCAAGCAAAUGGAGUGUGUAAUCUAGAGGCAGCCUGCCUGGGAUCAAAAUGCUUGCAGUAUAAACAUUGACAGCUUCCAUAACUUAUCUCUUCCCAGGUUAACCAACCUGUAAAAUGGGGGUAAUAUUUGUUCCUUCCUCAUAGGGUUGUGCAUAAAAAUCUGAUGAGAUUAUAGGUGGAAAGAAGUGCGAACCUACAGAAACCUUUCCAUAAAUGCUACCUAUUAUUAUUAAAUUGCAGCUUUCAUUUAGUUUUCAAAUUUAAAGUAAAGACUAAAAUCAGCUGAGAUAUACUCCAAUCUCUCGCUAAUGUUUGCAAAAGUAUUAGUAGUAUUCCCUUCAUCUUUCCUCAUCCCUUUUUUUAAAAAAGAACUCUAACUGGUAAAAUGCAUUUAUUUCCCUUGUAUCUGUACAAGCCAUUGAUUUGUCAGGAGAGAAAUACAAAGACUUUCACAUUUCUACUGCUCUCUAUCCUGAAUUAACACUCUGCUUCUGAAUUUAAGGCAGCAAAACUCUAUUCAGUGUUUUAAGAGUGGGUAAAAUAUAUAGAAAUGAGAAUAGCCUUGACAAGUUAACAUCAAUGUGAAUGAGACUAGAAAAAUAACAUUCUGUAUAUGAGUGCUUUUCUUCUAAAUAGUCUUACCAACUUUCAAAUGAUUAGACAAUUUUGUUUCAUUCCCUUCAAAUUUACAAAUUAAUAUUUUUAAGAGAUGGAGUUAAUAACCAGUUAAAAACUAUAAAGUCUUCCUCAACUGAAGUUCGGAGUUUUGCUAUAUAAAACUGACUUAGAGUUACAAUAAAAAUACCAAUAUCAUGCAAUACUAUAUUUGUAUUUCUCCGUUUAAUUGCUUUUUAUUUUCAAACAGUAUGCAACUAAGACAUGCCUGAGUGAAGUUUCCUAGGAGCCAAAUAAUUAAUCCAACAUUUAUCUGAAAUGCAGAACUAACUUGCAUAAUUCUUCAAUUGAAUAUCACACCUUUGAUGGGGACAUACAAAUUUUUUCAACCCGAGGCUUGAAAAGAUGUGUCAUAAAGCAUUCUGAUUAAUCAAGAACACCUUGUAAUUUGCUGCAUUUGGAAUGUAGAUACCUAACUUCCUGAAUCUUUUAACAAAAUAUCUGUAAAAUUGCAUGAUCAAAACUAUACCUCCACUGAACAAAGUGACAGAGAUGGUACUAACAUCGACAAAAGGUAAGAGAAGGGUAGAUUUCAAAAGGUUCUAGUUGUUUCUACACUCUCUCACUCUUACAGUGAAAUCAAGAGCCGAAAAAGAUUCUAGGGUUUAAAAUUCAAUUAAAGCAA